AAUGAGUUGUUUUGUCGCUUUUCAUUAUAGGUCAUAUGGGACUUUUUUUCUACACAAAAAUAAGCUCCAUAAUAUCCAUAGGGGAUUUACCCACUACAAAUAUUAUAGAGCC
rfam:Streptococcus pneumoniae R6, complete genome.